rnacentral:lncRNA from 1 species
GUGUGUGAAUGUGAAGUUUGCUUGUUGUGAUUGAUCUUGCUUGGUUUUGUUGAGUGAGGAAUUCAAGUAGCUCAUCAUUAGUGGUAAGUAUUCUUUAUCUCUUCCUUAUUGGUGUAAGCAAAGCAUUUCUAUUUCUCAAUUUAUAAAAUAGUCAAAAAUUUCAUUGUUAAGUUGGAUGUUGAUAUGCUCUCGGGUUUUUGUCAAUCAGUUUUUGGGUGUUUGAUAGUUGAGGUUGAAACUUUGGCAGUGCAUGUAUCUUGCUGUUAGCUUUCUAAAAAGAUAUUAUACGCUCAAUUUGGAGCUAUAACGAAUUUGUGGUGAAUUUUCGAACACAAGCGGGUUCACUGUCUUGGCAGUUUCAUGUACCC